CAAUAGCGUAUAUUUAAGUUGUUGCAGUUAAAAAGCUCGUAGUCGGAUUUUGGCUGAGAACGAACGGUCCGCCGUUAGGUGUGCACUGUUUGGUCUCAGCUUCCUGGUGAGGAGGUGUGCUUCACGGCCACUUAGUCACCGUGGUUACUUUGAAAAAAUUAGAGUGUUCAAAGCGGGCUUACGCUUGAAUAUAUUAGCAUGGAAUAACACCAUAGGACUCCUGUCCUAUUUCGUUGGUCUCGGGACGGGAGUAAUGAUUAAGAGGAACAGUUGGGGGCAUUCGUACUUCAUUGUCAGAGGUGAAAUUCUUGGAUUUAUGAAAGACGAACUUCUGCGAAAGCAUUUGCCAAGGAUGUUUUCAUUGA
rnacentral:rRNA from 1 species